rnacentral:rRNA from 1 species
AUUAUAAACAGUUACCCUGAUCAACGGACAAAAGCUACGCUAGGGAUAACAGGCUAACACGCCCUUAGAGUUCCUAUCGAUGGGCGUACGAGGCACCUCGAUGUUGGAUCAUCGCGUCCUGUAGCUGAAGGAGGUUACAAGGGUUGGAUUGUUCGUCCAUUAAAGCGGUACGUGAUCUGAGUUCAGAACGCCGUGAGGCAGUUCGGUUUCUAUCUUUGUCAGCGUUAGGCUAAAAAGGAGUUUGUUUCAGAUAAACUACGAAAUGCCGAUGCAAAAUUAGCCGCUGGGGGCGAGUACGAAAGGACCAGACCCCUAUGAACCUCUGGUGCACUUGUUGUCAUUUUUACGGCAUAGCAAGAAAGCUAAGUUCUAAAAGGCUAGAUUGCCUCUAUUCCAUAACACCGAAUGACCCCAACUGGUAACAGUUAAGGAUUU